rnacentral:rRNA from 1 species
UACGGAAGGGGCAAGCGUUGUUCGGAAUCAUUGGGCGUAAAGGGCGCGUAGGUUGUUCUGUAUGUCUACCGUGAAAGCGUACGGCUCAACCGUAUUUUGUCGGUAGAAACUGCAGGACUUGAGGCUGGGAGGGGCUGGUGGAAUUCCCUGUGUAGCGGUGAAAUACGUAGAGAUGGGGGAGAACACUCGUGGCGAAGGCGGCCAGCUAGACCAGUUCUGACACUGAGGCGCGACAGCGUGGGGAGCAAACAGG